GGUUCACCGUGAGGGCGUCGUCGGCGGAGGCCGAAGCCGCCGGCCGCCGCGCGGUCCUUGGCCUCAUGGCCAGCGGAGUCGUCGGCAGCGCGUUCGCUCAGGUGGUGCACGCCGGCACCGUCGCGGCCAUCAAGGUUGGCCCGCCGCCUCCGCUCUCCGGUGGACUCCGUGAGUGCCUCCAGCUGCUCGUUCUAUACUCGCUUUAUAGUAGACAGAAGACUAUAUAAUGAUGAUUUUACGCCUGAUCUGAUGGAUGAUUUGGGUGUGUGUGUGUCAGCCGGCACGGACAACUCGGACGAGGCAAGGGACUUCGACCUGCCCCUGAAGAACCGGUUCUACCUGCAGCCGCUGCCACCGGCGCAGGCGGCGGUCCGGGCCAAGGAGUCGGCCCAGGACAUCCUCAACCUCAAGCCGCUCAUCGACAAGAAGCAAUGGCCGUACGUCAUGAACGACCUCCGCCUCAGGGCCUCCUACCUGCGCUACGACCUCAAGACCGUCAUCUCCUCCAAGACCACCAAGGAGGAGAAGAAGGACCUCAAGGACCUCACCGGCAAGCUCUUCGCCACCCUCGACGGGGUAACAAACCAUCAUCUCGCAGUUUCAAACCUGAACAUUUUCGCAAGAAGAAUUGCAGGACUAACAGGUGUGAGCUUCUCCGUUUUUUCUUUCUUGC
rnacentral:lncRNA from 1 species